AUGCUCAAGAUAGAUCUUGCUAAGGCUUUUGAUCGUCUUGAAUGGAGUUUCAUUGUGUCUGCUCUUGCACGUAAAGGACCGCAUGGUCAUUUCAUUAAUUUGAUUCGUGCUUGCAUUUCUUCUCGUACUUUCUCUGUGCUUAUUAAUGGUAACCUUCUCAUAAAUUUAAAGGCUUCAGUUGUAUUCAUCAAGGAUGUCCCAAGUCGCGUUAUUUGUUUGUUAUUGCUAUAUGAAUUGUAUGUUGCUCUUAAUGAAGCUCUAGCUGCUCAUCAUCUCCAGCGUAUUUCACUUGGUCCAAAUUGCCCUUCUAUUCAUUCCCUGUUGUUUGCAGAUGAUCUGUUGGUUUGUGGUCAAGCCACUUGCAGGAAGGAAAUCCAAUGGCUCAAUUCAUCCAUCACUUUUGUUAUAUUUCAGGUCAAACCCCAACUUGGCUAA
rnacentral:rRNA from 1 species